GUGCCAGCCGCCGCGGUAAUACAGAGGUCUCAAGCGUUGUUCGGAUUCAUUGGGCGUAAAGGGUGCGUAGGCGGCGGGGCAAGUCAGGUGUGAAAUCCCGGAGCUCAACUCCGGAACUGCACUUGAUACUGCCUCGCUAGAGUACUGGAGAGGAGACUGGAAUUUACGGUGUAGCAGUGAAAUGCGUAGAGAUCGUAAGGAAGACCAGUGGCGAAGGCGAGUCUCUGGACAGUUACUGACGCUGAGGCACGAAGGCCAGGGGAGCAAACGGGAUUAGAUACCCCGGUAGUCC
rnacentral:rRNA from 1 species